CGACAAGGUUUUUCUUUCUUUCUUUAGAAACAACGUUGUGCAAACAAACUCGGAUUAAACCGUACGCUCAAUUUCUUCGUUGAGCCAUGGCCAUAAUAAGCAACAAGAUGGUAACCAUGAUAAAGGAGUUUAAAGAAGCUCUACGUUUUGCUGCAUCCGUUCAAUUUUGGAGAAUGGCUGUGUUAUGGACAAUCUCGCUCUUGACCUCGUACUUCCAGUUACACAGCAAGAGGCUCUUUUCUCGCAAAGCUCAAUCCUACCCACGAUGUCAUCCUCCGAUAUCUGAGUCUCUGAGGCCUGUUUGCGUCAUUACAGGCGCUACAUCAGGACUGGGAGCUGCUGCUGCACACGCUCUUUCACGGGAAGGUUUCUAUGUUGUUCUGGUUGGACGAUCAUCCCGUUUGUUAUCAAAGAUUAUGAUAGAGAUAAAAACCCAGAAUGAGGAUGCCCAAGUCAAAGCUUUUGAGGUUGACAUGUCGUCGUUCAAAUCAAUUUUGGAGUUUAAAAGCUCACUUCAGCAGUGGCUUUUGGAUUGCAAAAUGCAUUUUUCUGUGCAGCUCUUGAUUAAUAAUGCUGGGAUACUGGCAACAUCAUCACGAUUCACGCCUGAAGGCUAUGAUCAGAUGAUGGCUACAAAUUACAUAGGGGCGUUCUGUCUGACCAAAUUUCUACUACCUCUUCUUAAAAGAAGUCUUGUUCCUUCUCGGAUAGUAAAUGUCACAUCCUUUACACAUCGAAGUGUUUUUGAUAUUCAGGUUGACAAGGAAUCUGUUUCUGGGACACGUUUCUUGAGAUCAGAACAAUAUCCAUUUGCUCGUAUCUAUGAGUAUUCAAAAGUAUACCUGCUUCUCUUCUCAUAUGCGCUCCACCAACAACUCCGCUUGAUGGAUAAACCUUGUCAUGUCUCUGUAAAUGCUGCUGAUCCUGGAUGUGUAAAAACCAACAUCAUGAGGGAACUCCCUUCGUGUCUUUCAAAGUUGGCAUUUCAAGUUUUGAAGCUUUUGGGCCUUUUGCAGUUACCCAAGAAUGGUGUCAGCUCUAUUCUUGAUGCAGCCCUUGCCCCGCCAGAAGCAUCUGGAGUUUACUUUUUUGGUGGAGAGGGUAGGACUGUGAACUCUUCAAUGCUUUCAUAUAAUGCCAAACUUGCAAAAGAACUUUGGACCAUGUCUUAUAAUCUCUUUUUGGAAGCAAGCCUUGCUUCCAAAAAUACAUCUAGCUCUACGUCGGAUAAUUUGUCAUAAAAUAAGGAGGUGAAGAAGAUGAGAAAGAAAUGUGAAGGUGGUUUCCAGAAAGAGCUUUCUGCCUCGUCUUCUUUGACUGAUAUUUAACCAGAAAAUGUUGUGGCUCGUUGACAUGUGAUUUACAAACCUGCUGUUGGUUUCUCUUAUUGAAGGAAAAUAUAAGAUUAACCAAGUUGAGUGUGCGUGCGUGUGUGUGCAAUGGCAAUGAGAAGAGACAUGAACGUAUAGAGGAUGAUACAAAAGGAAAAGAUGUUCAGGAUUGGCGAGGAGUCCCUGGUCACAUUCUAACUAGAUAUGAUUUCCAAAAGACUUACCUCUGGCUGAUUGCAUAUCUCCUCCAAUAAAGUUUGCAAGUCAUGGUGAAGUGUUAUGAAACAAGUAUCCCCUCGAAAGCAGCCUCGUGGAUUUCCAUGGCUUGUGAUGUAACAACAAGCCUGCUUCUUCAGAAUGUCUGUACGGUGUACUUGGAAACUUGAAGCUGUCUGAGGCUUGGCUUUUCUCUGGAGUACUUUUGGGGAUCUUAAAUUCCACGAUUGGUUGAUUGUAGUAAAACCUAUGUAAUAUCAAAACAUGCAGAUUACUCUGGAGCCAAGGCUCCUCUCACUAAAACAUCAGAUAUAUACCAUAAAUUAGUACUCUCGGGUUAUGCUAGUCGGCGCUGAAAUAGUAGGAUCCCAAGGAUGGUACAAAUGUCAAUUAGAUUCUGAUGAUUGGCCUUAUUAUAUCAGGGAUGCUAUAUUUUUUAAACAUGUUACUACCUUUUGGCUCAAGAUUAUACAUUCAUGUCCUUGAUGCAGCACAUGUUUCGAGAACCGCUACAAUCAAUACUCAAUUUUAUUAUGAGGUUGAAACAACGGAUAUACUGGCAUGGGUAAAAUUGUGUUCCAAAGAAAUAGGAGUUGGAUAGACCAAUUGCAUCUACUUUACAAAUGAAUGUGGACCUUCUUUAUCUAAUGAAUGGACAGUCAGUAACUUUGAAACUUUUGAGCCACUGAACUUUCAGGCUAGGCAGUACUGACAACUGCUCCUAUAUGGUGCUGCUGUUGAAGGAGAAUAAUAGUUAGUAGUAUUUUACAUAUAUGAUGGUGCAUGGCAAGGAAGUUGGUGCAGAAAAUGUCAAUCAAAUCAAGGGCAGAAGGCAGAAGGCAAAAGGCAGAAGCAGAACACUACCAGAUGAAUGGCAUUGGCAGAUUGAUGUGUUGAUGAACAUUAAAAAAGAUAGCUGACAUUCUGAUCGCAGUGACGUUUAAAGCAUCAGUUCAGUAGCAGCUCAUGGGCAGCAAGCAUUGCAACCUUCUUGCAUAAUCACUUGGAUGCUGGAUCCUUAA